rnacentral:lncRNA from 1 species
GUCACUUCUCAAUAAUCCCUCCCCUGCCCCAAAUUACCACUCCCAUUGUAACAAAUAAGCAUAGUUAAACAAAACAAAAUGACACAUCAGCCAUAUCUGACAAUACAGGUCUUACUUUGUACAUAGGGUUUAUAACAUCCUUGGAGGAGGUAUGUUUCACAGGCAGUAUUCUGCAUUGCACUGAUCAGACUUCCAGUGUCUGCUGAAGUUGUUUUCCUUUAUAUUACUAUAGUCAUUAAUCAAAGUUUUCUUUUCCUUCUGCUAACUUCAUUCUGUAUCAGUUCAAGAAAGUCAUUCCAAGUUGGUUGUGCAAUUUCUUAUGACGACAUAAUAUUUCAUUACAUUUAUAUAAGAAAAUUUGUCAGCCAUUCCCCAAUUUGUGGGUACCCAGAUUGAUUUGAUUAUUUUUGCUCCCACAAAAACUAUAGCUAUACCAUUAUUUAUGCAUCUGGGAUCUUUUCUUUUUGCUUUUUACUUCCUUGGACUGUAUCAAAAUAAUGAUUACUGGGUCAAAAAUUAUGCAGAGUAUAGUGAGAUUUUUUCUAUCCCAGUUCCAAAUUGUUUUCCAGAAUGACUUGUUGGACCGAUUCACAACUACAGUACCAUUACUUUAGGGUGCUUUUCCCCACAUAAUCUUUUUAGCAUUACUAUUGUUAUCUUUGUUAAAUGGCAAGAUAAGAAGUUUCAGAAAAGUUUUAAUCAAUGUUCUCAUUAUUAGUAAUCUGAAGCAUUCUUUCAAAUGGCUGCUGAUGUUUAUAUUUAUUUUUUUUGGAAACUGCUUGUUCAUAACUCUUGAGCACACAGCUAUUGGGUUAUAGCUUUCAAACUUUACAUAUUUGCACCAAUUCCUUUCAUUUCUUGUGCAUCCGACAUUUAUCAAGAACAUCUCAUGCUAAAUUUUUUCACAUUAAGAUUCUGAUAUGUAACUUUUAUACUUCUCCAGAUUUCAGGAGCAUAUAAUAUAGAGACAAAAGCUGAAAAAGGUCACAAAUAGUACAAGGAAGAAAAAUGACAAGGACUAGAGAAAACAUGGUUCUACAUGAAACUAGGAAUUAUUCCUUGACACAUAACAGGAUGGUUUUAUUUUCAAGAAACAAUGAUACAGAGGGAAUUAGUGGAGGCCUCUCCAGCCCCACAUAUGCUCUAUUCCCUAGGUAUCUGGCAAUAUAUUCCUGACAUUCAUUUCAGCCCUUACUAGUAUAAUACAGAAUGAGUGAUUUUGUCAGUGUGAAUGCACCUUCCACUGACAAAUUUCAAAACUCAUCCAUAACUUAAUGGGUGGUCCCAUAAGUUGCUACAAGGCAAAAAGAAAAAAAAAGAAAAAAAAAAAAGAAAUAUGCAUUACCUGAUGGUCAGUCUACUGGCAACGAGCUUUUUAGAACUCGACUAGGCUGAUGCUCAGGCAACAGAUCAAGAGUAUGCUAUCUAGCUCAUACUUGAAGACUUCAAAACUUGGUAGAACCUGCCAGAGGCUGUGUUCUGAACAGUAUAACCAUAUUAAAAACUCAGGACCACCUCUAAUUAAUGAGGAGGCAUUACAUUAGAACUUAAGUAGAAGAUAACCUAGACAAUACACACAAUUUGUUAAGGUGAAAACAAAUAUAACUUAAGAAUCUGGUAGUAUUAGAUAAACUUAUGCUUCAACAUCAUAAAUGUUAGGGAUAGGAUAAUUCCAAUUUCUAUAAUUUUAUUCAAUUCAAUUCAAUUUAAUUCAAUUUAGAUACAAAGAAUUGAAUAGAGAUCAGGUGUCUUUUCCUGUCCUUGGAGAGUGAUCACAUGCCACUCAUUCAUCAUCUGUAUAAUAAAGUGACUGGACUAUAUGAUCUUUAAGGCCCUUCCAGUUCAAACAACCUAUGAUGAAUUCAAUUCAAUACUGUUAUAAAAAAAUAACCCACUUCCACCCCCUCCCACAAUAUAGAAGGCACUUUGCUAUAUAUUUUCUUCAAAGAUUUUUGUAAUAUGAAAAGUAUAAAGACAAAUAUGCAGAAUUAAGGGCCAA